AUUGAACGCUGGCGGAAUGCUUUACACAUGCAAGUCGAGCGGCAGCGCGGGGCAACCUGGCGGCGAGCGGCGAACGGGUGAGUAGUGUAUCGGAACGUACCCAGUCGUGGGGGAUAACUAUCCGAAAGGAUAGCUAAUACCGCAUACGUCCUGAGGGAGAAAGCGGGGGAUCGCAAGACCUCGCGCGAUUGGAGCGGCCGAUAUCGGAUUAGCUAGUUGGUGAGGUAAAGGCUCACCAAGGCGACGAUCCGUAGCUGGUCUGAGAGGACGACCAGCCACACUGGAACUGAGACACGGUCCAGACUCCUACGGGAGGCAGCAGUGGGGAAUUUUGGACAAUGGGGGCAACCCUGAUCCAGCCAUUCCGCGUGAGUGAAGAAGGCCUCGGUUGUAAGACUCUUUCGGUCAGGAACGAAACGGACGUCUCUCUAACAUAGGGGCGUAA
rnacentral:rRNA from 1 species